UACGUAGGGUCCGAGCGUUGUCCGGAAUUACUGGGCGUAAAGAGCUCGUAGGUGGUUUGUCGCGUUGUUCGUGAAAACUCACAGCUCAACUGUGGGCGUGCGGGCGAUACGGGCAGACUGGAGUACUGCAGGGGAGACUGGAAUUCCUGGUGUAGCGGUGGAAUGCGCAGAUAUCAGGAGGAACACCGGUGGCGAAGGCGGCAUCCUGGACCGGUAUUGACGCUGAGGCGCGAAAGCCAGGGGAGCGAACGGG
rnacentral:rRNA from 1 species